GAUGAACGCUGGCGGCGUGCCUAAUACAUGCAAGUCGAGCGAAUGGAUUAAGAGCUUGCUCUUAUGAAGUUAGCGGCGGACGGGUGAGUAACACGUGGGUAACCUGCCCAUAAGACUGGGAUAACUCCGGGAAACCGGGGCUAAUAAAGGAUAACAUUUUGAACCGCAUGGUUCGAAAUUGAAAGGCGGCUUCGGCUGUCACUUAUGGAUGGACCCGCGUCGCAUUAGCUAGUUGGUGAGGUAACGGCUCACCAAGGCAACGAUGCGUAGCCUACCUGAGAGGGUGAUCGGCCACACUGUGACUGAGAACCGACCCAGACUCCUACGGGAGGCAGCAUUAGGGAAUCUUCCGCAAUGGACGAAAGUCUGACGGAGCAACGCCGCGUGAGUGAUAAAGGCUUUCGGGUCGUAAAACUCUGUUGUUAGGGAAGAACAAGUGCUAGUUGAAUAAGCUGGCACCUUGACGGUACCUAACCAGAAAGCCACGGCUAACUACGUGCCAGCCGCCGCAGUAA
rnacentral:rRNA from 1 species